rnacentral:lncRNA from 1 species
GGGUGAGGUUCUCCUGUGUGAAGGAGCCUGGAGGUACAUCUGUGGCAUCCUAAAGUUUCUUGCAAGAGCCUGAAAACAGCUGGACUGGACCAUCUCCAAGGGCCAUCCAGUGCUAGUGUCCUGGGACUAUGUGGGAAAAUCACACAGCUUGCAUCAGAGUCUCACUGAGUCCCAUGGUCCUCCUGUGCAGACUGAUGACAUGCACCUCUUCUAUCUAAUAUCCUUGAAGUAUCUGUCCAACAUUUAAUUUGUUGGGAAUAGGGAGAAACAUUUUCUGGUAAUAGAAUCUGUACACCUUUUUCUUUCUGUUCUUUAGACUAUAAAAUGCACUGAACAUAGCAUCUGAAAUUACUUGGGAUUGUAGUUUUGCUGCA